AUAUACAUUUUAAAGUUUCAAAUGCUGUUCCUAAUCCUUUGUUGGCUUGAGGCUCUCCCCUCAGGAACUGCAGGAACUCCUGGUGCCGCCUGGGCCGAUGGAUUGGACGCCCCAGCCCCUCCGUUCCUGCCCAGCCCCUGGGGCCGUGUCGAGUGGUGGCACUGCCAGCCCUGCAGGGGAAGUGGGAAGGGCCUUUGCAGGUCUUGUGGGUCACAUUUACAGCAGUGGGAUGGAGCCUGGAAACUGCACAGAGCUGAGCCCAGGGAUUGAAAGGGACCAACCAAGGGAGGUGAAGAAAGAAGGAAGAAGGGAAGUGAGGCAGCAGGCAAGCAGCACCAAGUUGCUGUGUAAGCAGGAGAAAAUGGGGCAAGCGGGCAGGAAGAAGAGAAGCCCCGUGACUCCUCCCUGAGCCCCAGACAGCCCCUGAACUGCCUUCCUGGGAAUGGUGGGACGGGCUGGACUCUGGAUUACUCCCUCUGCAUGUGUGGCUCUCCCCUCAGGAACUGCAGGAACUCCUGGUGCCGCCUGGGCCGAUGGAUUGGACGCCCCAGCCCCUCCGUUCCUGCCCAGCCCCUGGGGCCGUGUCCAGUGGUGGCACUGCCAGCCCUGCAGGGGAAGUGGGAAGGGCCUUUGCAGGUCUUGUGGGUCACAUUUACAGCAGGUAAAGUUGCAGA